rnacentral:misc_RNA from 1 species
CUCAUUGAGCUUUACGAUAAUCUCCUCCUACUGCAAUUUUGUUCAACAUACUGAGAGAGAGUUUGUUAGCAGUGACCCAUGGGAGAGUCUUUUUCUAUUAGCUAAUAAUUCAAUGAGCAAGGAUAAAAUUAGGCGUAAGUUAUGAUUUUCUACUUACGUUUUACAAAAUUCCUGGGGUGAUUGAUUAUGAUAUUAUCAACAGGAUAUGCAGAACUCAUCAAUCACCUAGGAAGCCUAGAAACCUAUUUAUAAGCUUCGCAACAGGAGUUGCAUCACCUGCAGGAUAUGGGAGAAGAGACUCCAAAUCCAUAUCUGCUAUCAUAUGACGGAGCGUUUGAGGACGAGCACAAUAUAAAUGUUUCCUCUCUGCUAGUUUUUCUGCAAGCUCACUUUGAUGAUUGUCCAUCAGAUCUUCAUUCACCACUACAAUUAGAGGUUUGCCAAGCUGCAAAGUCUCAAACAUACUCCCUGACCCAGCAUGGCUGAUGACAAGAGAUGCUGAUCUUAGAUGAUCUGCUAUACUUGAUGAAAAAGUGAAAUAAUCAACAGCCACAGAUCCAUCUUCUCCUUCAGACUUGGUGGGAGUGUAGAAUCCCCGACCCAUUUGAAUGAGAAGGUGGGAGUAGCCUCUUCUAUAUAAUUCCUGCUUAACUUCCUUUUUAUCCAUUGCCCUUACAAGAGCAUCACACAAUGUAGUUCCCACUGUUACAAACACCAUUCUCCUAUUCUCACUAUCUUCAAUUUCUCCCAUUUUCUUGAGAUUUAUAUCCAUCAAAAGCAAAAGAAUUAAACAAGUGCAAACUAGGAUCUUGGUCAAAUGCUGCAGUAGAGUCUUACUUCAGCUGGAUCGAAGGUUAAAUGCUCAUCUCAAGAGACAAUCAGAAGUAAAGAAAUCAAAAUGGAAAAAAUGCAAUACAACUUCGAACCGCAGAGCUUAAACUAUUGUCGCCGUUGGAAAUUGAGGAAACCAGACACGCGAUGCGAGAGGUAGUUGUCGUCCAAGCUGGGGAUGCAAGAGGGGAGGGAUUGGGGAGGAAAGAAUUGAGAAUUUCCCAAUUCUGACCGAAGACAUCAUUUCAAUUUGGCCGAUUGGACUAAACAAAAAUCAGGAUUAUAUCUAACAACCUCUUGAUUUUUUUUUUUUCAAUUUUGCGUCAAAUAUCAAAAAUUUCCAAAUUUCUUGAAUUGAAUUUAAUGAUAAAUUCUUGAUAAAAAAAUUUAAUGAUAAAUUAUAGUAACAUAGAUCUAGCAGAAUAAUAAAAG